rnacentral:rRNA from 1 species
GACACGGUCCAGACUCCUACGGGAGGCAGCAGUAGGGAGUAUUUGGCAAUGGAGGAAACUCUGACCGAGCAACGCCGCGUGAAGGAUGAAUGUCUUCGGAUUGUAAACUUCUGUGGAGAGUCGAGAAUAUUACGUCUAGCAAAUGAGAUGUAACUGACUAGCUCUCUAGAAAGCAACGACUAACUACGUGCCAGCAGUCGCGGUAAUACGUAGGUUGCAAGCGUUAUCCGGAAUUAUUGGGCGUAAAGAGUGAGCAGGCGGUCUGCUAAGUUGGAAGACAAAUCCCACGGCUCAACCGUGGUUUUCUUUCAAAACUGACAGACUAGAGUGCGGGAGAGGCAAGCGGAAUUCCACAUGUAGCGGUGAAAUGCGUAGAGAUGUGGAGGAACACCAGUGGCGAAGGCGGCUUGCUAGACCGAAACUGACGCUCAGUCACGAAAGCGUGGGUAGCAAAUAGGUUUAGAUAUCCUAGUAGUCCACGCCGUAAACGUUGAGAACUCGAUGUCGGUAAGAAACCGGUGUCUAAGCUAACGCAUUAAGUUCUCCGCCUGGGUACUACGUUCGCAAGAAUAAAACUUAAAGGAAUUGACGGGUGCCCGCACAAGCAGUGGAGCAUGUGGUUUAAUUCGUGGCUACGCGAAAAACCUUACCAGGGUUUGACAUCCCGUUAAAGGCUUUGGAAACAAAGAGAUAGUUAUAGCGGUGAACGGUGGUGCAUGGUUGUCGUCAGCUCGUGUCGUGAGACGUUAGGUUAAGUCCUCAAACGAGCGCAACCCUUGUUGCUAGUUGCCAUCAUUAAGUUGGGAACUCUAGCGAUACUGCCUAGAUUUAAAUAGGAGGAAGGCGAGGAUGACGUCAAAUCAUCAUGCCCCUUAUGCCCUGGGCCACACACGUGCUACAAUGGCCGGUACAAAGAGUCGCAAGUACGCGAGUAUGAGCUAAUCUCAAAAAGCCGGUCUCAGUUCGGAUUGGAGUCUGCAACUCGACUCCAUGAAGUUGGAAUUGCUAGUAAUCGUAGAUCAGCAUUGCUACGGUGAAUACGUUCUCGGGCAUUGUACACACUGCCCGUCACACCAUGAGAGUUGGUAAUACUCGAAGCCGUUAUCUUAACCCUAGCAAUAGGGAGGGAGGCGUCUAAGGUAGGACUAAUGAUUGGGGUUAAGUCGAAACAAGGUAUCCCUACGAGAACGUGGGGAUG